AUUGAACGCUGGCGGCAUGCCUUACACAUGCAAGUCGAACGGUAACAGGUCUUCGGAUGCUGACGAGUGGCGAACGGGUGAGUAAUGCAUCGGAACGUGCCCAGUUGUGGGGGAUAACUGCUCGAAAGAGCAGCUAAUACCGCAUACGACCUGAGGGUGAAAGCGGGGGAUCGCAAGACCUCGCGCAAUUGGAGCGGCCGAUGUCAGAUUAGGCAGUUGGUGGGGGAAAGGCCUACCAAGCCGACGAUCUGUAGUUGGUCUGAGAGGAAGACCCGCCACACUGAGAAGGAGACACGGCCCAGACUCCUACGGGAGGCAGCAGUGGGGAAUUUUGGACAAUGGGCGCAAGCCUGAUCCAGCAAUGCCGCGUGCAGGAAGAAGGCCUUCGGGUUGUAAACUGCUUUUGUCAGGGAAGAAAUCCUCUGGGUUAAUACCCCGGGGGGAUGACGGUACCUGAAGAAUAAGCACCGGCUAACUACGUGCCAGCCGCCGCGGUAAAAC
rnacentral:rRNA from 1 species